UACGUAGGGUGCGAGCGUUAAUCGGAAUUACUGGGCGUAAAGCGUGCGCAGGCGGUUCGUGAUGUCUGGUGUGAAAUCCCCGGGCUUAACCUGGGAACUGCAUUUGUGACUGCAUAGCUAGAGUACGGUAGAGGGGGAUGGAAUUCCGCGUGUAGCAGUGAAAUGCGUAGAUAUGCGGAGGAACACCGAUGGCGAAGGCAAUCCCCUGGACCUGUACUGACGCUCAUGCACGAAAGCGUGGGGAGCAAACAGG
rnacentral:rRNA from 1 species